UGAAACUGCGAAUGGCUCAUUAAAACAGUUAUAGUUUAUUUGAUAAUCGAAUUUACAUGGAUAACCGUGGUAAUUCUAGAGCUAAUACAUGCUGGUUAGCCUGACUUUUGAGGAAGGGCUGUACUUAUUAGAUAACAAACCAAUAUUCCCCGUGUCUAUUGUGAUGACUCAUAAUAACUGAUCGAAUCGCAUGGACUUUGUCCGCGAUAAAUCAUUCAAGUUUCUGCCCCAUCAGCUUUCGAUGGUAGUGUAUUGGACUACCAUGGCUUUAACGGGUAACGGAGGAUUAGGGUUCGAUUCCGGAGAGGGAGCCUGAGAAACGGCUACCACAUCUAAGGAAGGCAGCAGGCGCGUAAAUUACCCAAUCCUGACUCAGGGAGGUAGUGACAAGAAAUAACG
rnacentral:rRNA from 1 species